GGUUUUCUUCUCGGCCUGGGAUGCCUGCACCUCCACACUUCCAGCCCUGUCCUACGGCCAGGCUGGAUCGCUGUUGGUAUGGCAACGCUUCCCUGCACCAACCAAACCGUGAAAGAUGUUUCACUCUGCUAUGUUAAGUCAUAUUGACAUACUGCCAUGAAGUGGAAGCAACUGCUACUUUUAACAUUGCUCCAUAUCUUUAUUAAAAGCACUGGCAGAGUCUUUACUCUGCACACCACUGCUGACCCCAGAAGUGACCCACAGGAACUACUGGCAAAAGGAGUGAAAAGCAUAGAAGAAUAAUGAUUUGAAACACAGGAAGUUGCCAUGGAACAGAAUCAUCACCCACUGACGAGCUUUAUUGUCUCAUAAUGUGUCACCCUACCAAGAGUCACAGCAAAUGGUCAAGAUACUCUCUGUGGUGGCGGGCCAAGACCAUAGCACUGCCUUGUGACUUACUCAAAAGGUGCAAUAAUAAACAUCUCUUCUGC
rnacentral:lncRNA from 1 species